rnacentral:sRNA from 1 species
AGGUUUUAUCGGGAACUGGUUAUACGACGAUUUUCCGUUGUACUUCAGUUGAAACAGAAAAGCCUUGGGGUCCGGGAGGUAAGCUCCUCCAGCGCUGGUCCAGCUCUGGGAGGUGAACCCCCCGUACACCGUGUCGCUUGGGUUACUGAGCACCGUGACGGUCAUUCCCUUGCCGUCACACUUGGAGUGGAAGGUGGGCGCCGAACAUCCGUCCCUGGUGAUCUUGUACAACAGUCGGAACUUCCUCCGUCCCCCAAUCCAUUUUAACAGCUCGUCGAAAUCCUCUUUUUGCAGCAGACCGGCCAUCAUCAGAGAAUAUUCGAAUCGGAAAUUCUGCGUAAAUAAAGAGAAAAUAGAGUGACCAGAAAAUCCUGAGUUCGUGUUAAAACGAAAGUACAAUUUUUGGUAUAGACCCACCGGUAACUUCGCCAGAAUUUCCUCAGAAAGAGAGGUUGAAGUUGCCCUGUAUUCUGAGUUCACGAUCGUGAAAGUUAACUCCAAAUGCAAUAAAAUGAUAAUCAUCUAAUUCAAAAGACAUUUUCAUAACCUAAGAUAACCCAUGUUGUGAUUAAUAACUAGCGACUGUCUUAUCUUCAGAGGUUAUAAGUACGGUUGAUGCAACCACAUACUGUGCACUGAAAAUUACAACUGAUGUUUAUAACUUUAGGUGCUGAUAUUACAAUUAGUUGGUAACUUGUAAUUACUUAAUAACUCUGCCAAGUUAGUGCUAAAAUAAUCAUGAAACCGUUUGUCUUCAGUUAUCUUUAACUACAAAAUUCUGAACAACCAACUAUAUGACGGUUGUAAUUGGGUCAAAGGGUUGGACUAUACCUCCAAAAUGCAUAUGAACACAUAGACUGAUUUUAUUUGUCAUUUAGCCAACACAAUUACAAAACAUUUCAGCUACAAAAUGUAUGAAUACACAUAAUAAAUUAUAUUUGAAAAAUUCGAUAAGAUUU